UACGGAGGGUGCGAGCGUUGUCCGGAAUCAUUGGGCGUAAAGGGUGCGUAGGCGGCGGGGUAAGUCAGGUGUGAAAUCCCGGAGCUUAACUCCGGAACUGCACUUGAUACUGCCUUGCUCGAGUACUGGAGAGGAGACUGGAAUUUACGGUGUAGCAGUGAAAUGCGUAGAUAUCGUAAGGAAGACCAGUGGCGAAGGCGAGUCUCUGGACAGUUACUGACGCUGAGGCACGAAGGCCAGGGGAGCAAACGGG
rnacentral:rRNA from 1 species